rnacentral:sRNA from 1 species
CGGUUCUGUGCCUGUGUCUGACUUUUAGUAGUAGUUUAUUUAGUUGUUGGAGCGAUCAACACUUGCCAUAUUGCCAUGGCAUUAGAGUGUCAGCAAAUAUUCGGGAUUGGUCUGGAGUGGAAUGGAAUGGAAUGGCAUGGCAUGUGGCAGCUGAAUAGCUGGGAAACGGUUUUAGUUCCGUUCCUGCUAUGAUUUGGGCCACAUGCGGCUUAAUGGCCCCAAAAGAGCUCUAAGCCUCGCUCCGGGUCUGGGUUUCAGCCACGAAAAUCCCUAGACACUAAAACAAAAGUUGCCUCUCAAUCGAACCCUUUUUGUCUGCCUGUCAUCAGCGGAUAGCAAGUGCUCUUAAAGUGUAACAAAACUAUAAAUGGGUUAUCCCAAUGGGUUUGCCAUCUCAAAGAUACAUACAAUAGUGGUCUUUGAAUGUUGUUUGAUGCCUGAUAAUUGUUGUCUCAAAAACACACAUCGAAAUGUAUCUGUUGGGGAUUUUCCGAUCAGGAAAACAAAUAAUCCCAAACUUUAUUCAAGACUCUAACCGUCCCCCAGCGAGUAUUUUACCCAUCAAUUCUCACGGCUCUGAAGGGAAAACUUCACAGUGCGAGUAUUCCUAUACAGUGGCCCGAUGAUGACCCAAUUAAUACUUACAUUGACAUUUGAAAUGUACGUAUUUAUGGGAGUAAACUUUUCAAGGCGAAAACGAAACGAAAACUUUAAGCAUUUUACGUAUCCUCGGGACCUGCCCCAGUGGGAAACCCAGAACUAAUCAUUAUUGAAAACGUGUGGUGGAAACUUCUGUAAUGCGCCCCAUUGUGUCACGCCCACGUUCACGUCCACGUCCACUGCUACUCGGAAUGGAAAACGGCAUGAGGGAAUGGGAACGACAAAGCAAAAAAAAGAGCAGGAAAAUACAAACUCAAAAGUUAUAACGAAAUAGCUUUGGUCAAAUUGUUUUACAAGCCAAUUGGGUUUGUUGUCCUUUUUUCGGUGCUUUUCAGUUGCCUUUUUGGAGUCCUGCGGUCCUGUGGUGCUUUGUGAGGCGCAGGGAAAGUCCCUAAGGCGCUUAGCAAAAGGAUGUUCCAAUGUGACAUCGAUUUCUCUUUAUAAAGGGUGGCAGCCCAUCGUCAUAUGAGCAUUUUGACGAUGUCUUUCAUGCUACAUCAGUCCAAAUCCUUGGAUAUUAACCCAGUUGAUAGCACAGCACUUCGAUCAGUGAUGUCUCCAUGGGGGUGCCAUCGGCGAGUCGACACCGUCGAAAAAAUGAUUGUACUCGACGAAAAAAAA